rnacentral:ncRNA from 2 species
GGUAAAAAAGCCCGACAUGGUAUUAUAUUACGAUUUACAUAGGAAGCUGGGUGAAAAUCCCACACAGGGACGCUACUGUGAUAACAAAUUAAGAUUAAACAAAGAACCACUGGUUUUUAGCCGGGAAGGUGUAAUCUUUUAUAUAUCUGUCAUAUGUAUAUAGUCAUAUACAACAGCUAUAUUGUAGUUUAAGUCAGGAUACAUCCAUACUUGCAUGAAUAUA